CGCCCAACCUCCCACCCGUGACUACCUAACACUGUUGCUUCGGCGGGGAGCCCUCUCGGGGGCGAGCCGCCGGGGACUACUGAACUUCAUGCCUGAGAGUGAUGCAGUCUGAGUCUGAAUAUAAAAUCAGUCAAAACUUUCAACAAUGGAUCUCUUGGUUCCGGCAUCGAUGAAGAACGCAGCGAACUGCGAUAAGUAAUGUGAAUUGCAGAAUUCAGUGAAUCAUCGAGUCUUUGAACGCACAUUGCGCCCCCUGGCAUUCCGGGGGGCAUGCCUGUCCGAGCGUCAUUGCUGCCCAUCAAGCCCGGCUUGUGUGUUGGGUCGUCGUCCCCCCCGGGGGACGGGCCCGAAAGGCAGCGGCGGCACCGUGUCCGGUCCUCGAGCGUAUGGGGCUUUGUCACCCGCUCGAUUAGGGCCGGCCGGGCGCCAGCCGACGUCUCCAACCAUUUUCUUCAGGUUGACCUCGGAUCAGGUAGGGAUACCCGCUGAACUUAAGCAUAUCAA
rnacentral:rRNA from 1 species